rnacentral:rRNA from 1 species
UAGUGGCGAACGGGUGAGUAACACGUGAGUAACCUGCCCUUAACUCUGGGAUAAGCCUGGGAAACUGGGUCUAAUACCGGAUAGGAGCGUCCACCGCAUGGUGGGUGUUGGAAAGAUUUAUCGGUUUUGGAUGGACUCGCGGCCUAUCAGCUUGUUGGUGAGGUAAUGGCUCACCAAGGCGACGACGGGUAGCCGGCCUGAGAGGGUGACCGGCCACACUGGGACUGAGACACGGCCCAGACUCCUACGGGAGGCAGCAGUGGGGAAUAUUGCACAAUGGGCGCAAGCCUGAUGCAGCGACGCCGCGUGAGGGAUGACGGCCUUCGGGUUGUAAACCUCUUUCAGUAGGGAAGAAGCGAAAGUGACGGUACCUGCAGAAGAAGCACCGGCUAACUACGUGCCAGCAGCCGCGGUAAUACGUAGGGUGCGAGCGUUAUCCGGAAUUAUUGGGCGUAAAGAGCUCGUAGGCGGUUUGUCGCGUCUGUCGUGAAAGUCCGGGGCUUAACCCCGGAUCUGCGGUGGGUA